AACGAACGCUGGCGGCAUGCCUAACACAUGCAAGUCGAACGAUACCUUCGGGUCUCUUGGCGCAUGGGUGCGUAACGCCUGGGAACCUGGUCUUAGGCUCGGAACUGCUUGCUGAAGGGGGUGCUCUUCUCGGAUAGUUUCCUCGUACCACAGAUCUUUCGCCGUUGGAUGGGCCCGCGUUGGGUUCGCUAGUUGGUAGGGUAAGAGCCUACCAAGGCGACGAUACAUAGCUGGUCUGAGAGAAUGAUCCGCCACACUGGGACUGAGACGCGGCCCGGACUCCUACGGGAGGCAGGAGUGGGGGAUAUAGGACAGUGGGGGGAAGCAUGAACCAGCAAUGCCGCGUGAGCGAUGAAGGCCUGAGGGUAGUAAAGCUGUUUUACCCGGGAUGAUAAUGACGUUACCGGGAGAAUAAGCUCCGGCUAACUCCGUG
rnacentral:rRNA from 1 species